rnacentral:rRNA from 1 species
AACGAACGUUGGCGGCGUGGAUUAGGCAUGCAAGUCGGGGGAAUCCCAGCAAUGGGGGAACCGGCGUAAGGGGCAGUAAGGCAUGGGUACCUACCCUGAAGUUCGGGAUAGCCAUCAGAGAUGGUGGGUAAUACCGGAUGAUGUCGUGAGACCAAAGAUUUAUCGCUUUGGGAGGGGCCCAUGUGAUAUUAGCUAGUUGGUGAGGUAAUGGCUCACCAAGGCGAAGAUGUCUAGCGGGUAUGAGAGUACGACCCGCGCCACUCGCACUGAGACACUGGCGAGACACCUACGGGUGGCUGCAGUCGAGGAUCUUCGGCAAUGGGCGAAAGCCUGACCGAGCGACGCCGCGUGCGCGAUGAAGGCCUUCGGGUUGUAAAGCGCUUUAGUGGGGGAGAAAGGGGUAAAACCUUGAUCUAUCCCAAAAAUAAGCUCGGGCUAAGUUCGUGCCAGCAGCCGCCGUAAAAC